GUUGAUGUUUGGGUUUCCCAGGCAACCGACAGAGAUUUGUGUGCAGGAAGUUUUUGGGUGGAGUGGCCUCAGAAUCAACAUCUGUGAAGGGUGAGAGAUGCAGGAUAGGUCAGUGGAAGACAGGAAGUGUGCUGCUGUUAUAGUAGAACCCUCAUCUGAUCCUGAGGGAGCUCUAGAGCUGAGGGGCCCUUCAGUUUGAGAAAAUGAGGCUCAGAAAUAUCAAAGGAGCUGUCAGCAAUCCUGGAGGUGACACUCAACCCUUGGUCUGACGAUUCCAAAUCCUGUUUCUUUGCUCACACAAUGCACUACAUCACAGAGCACAGCCAAACCUUCAGGAAUGGGCAAAGUGUUCAAGAGUCAGAGGAGAGCCUGGGCAGUUUCAAGAUUUUGAGGCACAUCACCUCUGGAGCCUUCCUCAGAUACUCUCAGAUUUAGCUAGGAUUUGAGACAGUGGAGUCCAGUUGAAACCACGAUUUGUGAAGGAGCCUCACCCUAGGCCCCUGUGCAGAAGCUGCUCAACAGCAGCCAGAGCACCAUGCUGAAUAUUACUUGUUGACAUGAGGCAUCUUGUCUUACCUUCACUUAUGUUCCUUCUUGGGAUCUGAAAGGCGGCUGGGCUCUGAGUGAGAUUAAGCUCUGCCAAUGAGAUGCACUUUCAUGAUAUCUGGAAGACAGAAGAGAGAUGGAGACCAUUUUCCUACAACCGGGAUGGUGGGCAUGCAAGCUCUAACAAAAGUCAAUAAAGGUGGCCAGACUCCACGGCCACUGCCAGGUCACCAGGGGCAGAAACAGGUUGCAGCAGCAGCAGCAGUUUCCUGACUUCUGCCUUGUAGCCACAGUGGUUGGUCUUAAGACCAAAUGUCCCCUGAUUUCUAUUCCUCCGUCCCUUCCAAAAAUUUUGUAAGCACUUAAUUUCCGAUUAAGUAGUAAGCCAAUCUCUUUCUGCUUGAAAUGCUUACAAUGGUGUUCUUUUUCCUGUGCAGAGCCUGCUACUAAGAGCGAAGCCAGAGUCACUGACUCUGCUUUCGACACCCAUGCACUUGACACAACUGGAGGAAAAUGUUUUUUUACCUGGAGAACAACACAGAGAGUAACACGGAAUGAACCAAAUGCCUGAGUGUGCUGCUCCAGGGGAACCACAGACAGUGGGCCAAUCGGAAGUUGCUUCUUGGAGUAGAUGGGCUUAGAGCCUUGUCUUGCUGUCUGGAUUGUAGUACUUAACCUUUACAACCAUGGCGCGUGGUGCCAGCAUUUAACUAUCCGACACCAAGGGGAAGUAAGGCAUGAAAUCCCGCCAGGUGGGCAGGAGACUUCCUGGUGCACGGUGUUGACAAAUGCUUCUCUAAUAAAGCAGAUGUGCAGGAGCCCAUGACUACUGGCAAUCAGCCCAGUGUCAGCUACAGUUGGAGGCACCAAAAGCAGAGUGAACAACAACAAAAGGGCACUUUGUGGGCCCCUGAUUCCCACACCCCAAGGAAUGGAGAGCAGCAGUGUGGACUUUGGGAUAGUAAGAGUCACGUGGAUUUGUAGACGUUAGAAGCAGAGACUCUUUUCAAACAAAAUGCCAUUUUUAGAGGAGGACAGAGCCAAAGCUGCAAAGUCUUUGGCCCCACGAAUGCAAGCAUGGAGCAAAUAUUCAAGGACAGCCUGCCCUUUAAGUGCAGAGCCUGGGGUACAGAAGAUGCUAUGAAACCACUGGUUGAAUGAUUCAUAGUGUAAGGGGGGGAUUAAGGUAAUGUGCAGGUACCUUCAAUUUUUAACAAGAAUCACUAAAAUAUCCAGUUUCUGUUUCAUAAGGCUAAUUCCAUGUUUUGGGCAACAGCUGGUCCCACUUUACUGCUGUGGGUACAGUGAGUUCUAGUAAAUUCUGUGUAAUAGAUGUAUUCAUAUGCUCCAUCCUUUUAACAAUCUUCUUAAUUAGGGUGCUGUUCUUUUAAGCAAAGCAUUUAUAUAGUGACUUUAUUGCAUUUGGAUAUAGUGUUAGCUUCAAUAGACAAUAUAAUUUUAUGAGUUUUUUUUAAAAAUUGCUUUACAAUGAAGGGAAUUUAUUUUAUCAGCAGUAUGGAGUUAUUCCCAUGGAUACUUAAGAGCCAUUGUUACAGAGACUUAUAAAUCUCUCUUAAGAAGGAAAGAUCCUAAAGAAUGUAGUAGAUGGAGGUGGUUUGACCACUUACUAAACUUCUGUGAAUAUCAAAGUUUAUCGAUAAAAUGGGAUCAGUAUCUUUUUUGCCCACCUCGUGGAAUCAUUGUGAACAUCAAAUAAAAUAUUAUACAUAAGAGGACUUUA